GACGAACGCUUGCGGCGUGCUUAACACAUGCAAGUCGAACGCUGAAGCUCAGCUUUUGUUGGGUGGAUGAGUGGCGAACGUGUGAGUAACACGUUAGUAACCUGCCCCCUUCUUUGGGAUAACGCCCGGAAACGGGUGCUAAUACUGGAUAUUCACUGGUCUUCGCAUGGGGGUUGGUGGAAAGGGUUUUUCUGGUGGGGGAUGGGUUCGCGGCCUAUCAGGUUGUUGGUGGGGUGAUGGCCUACCAAGGCGUUGACGAGUAGGCGGCCGGAGAGGGUGACAGAACAAAUGGAGAAGGAGAUACGGCCCAGACAUCUACGGGAGGAAGAAGUGGGGAAUAUUGCAAAAUGGGAGCAAGCAUGAUGCAGCGACGCCGCGUGAGGGAUGGAGGAGUUCGGGUUGUGAAACUCUUUCGCGCAUGGUCAAGCCGAAACAAUGGUUGUGGUGAGGGUAGUGGGUAAAGAAGCGCCGGCUAACUACGUG
rnacentral:rRNA from 1 species